UAACCCCACCCACUCUUACAUCUCAGCCAAUCAUCUUAUUCCAUUUUUCCACGUCCCACCGCUCUAGUCCCAAUUCCAGGACCUCUACCCACGGUCAGCACCCGCCCUCCCUGCAAUCAAGUCUCACUGACCUAGCGCUGAGGAUGGAAUCCAGAGCCUCAGGCAUCUCCAGCAAGAGAUCUGCCACUGAGCUACACCUCAUCUCAACCUUGGCCCUUUCUAAGGCUGUUUCCUCACCUGGAAGGUGGCCAGAAUACCUUCUGAGUGUGGACAUACAGACUAACCGUGAGGAAGUGUGUCAGCCUGGGCCCCUGCACGGUGCAGACCCUCACCAGGCGCAAAAGUCCCCGUUCCUGGCAGGAUCUGAAGUUGACAGUUUUUACCUCAGGAACCUAGUGGGUUCAGGAAGCCAAGCUGACUUCUACCACCUGCACUUCCUCCUUCCUCCCCAUCGGCCCCAGGCGUUUCCUGAGAGCUCAGAUCCACUGAGAUCCUAUUAGGAACCAGAUAUUUCCACCAACACCCUUAUAACACCAGGAGGUACUGGAUACUCCCCAUCUCACGGAGCGGAAAACGGAGUGCAUUUUAAAGAGAGAAAAAAAAAGUAACCAUUAUUAUAAAUGGAAAACCAAGAUCACUUGACAUAAAAAGAAGGAAAACAAACAUGAGACUUACAAUUAAAAACAUUCAUCUGCAGACUACCUGACACUGUUCUGCUUCCCACGCU